GAGAUUUUAUAAGUAAAGUUCAGAAUUUAUUAUUGUGAUAUUUAUCUUCAUGACCAUGAAAAUUCAGUAUAAAUGCAGGAAUUCACCCGUUUCUGAAAGCAGUGAGUCAAAAAUCGUUGAACAUACACAACCAACAGUAGUACUGCAAUAUCCGAUACAAAAAUCUAAGGAACCCAUAAUUACAAAAUGUCGAAAGUAAUAUUCGCAUUCAUUGCAUUACUCAUCAUUAUUGUCAUGAUGGAGAAGACUGCCGAGGCUUGCGUCGCAAUAUUGGGCUCGUGUACCAAUCAUGACGAUUGCUGUUCAGAGUGGUGUGCACAUUCAAUUUUCUUCGGCAUUCGAUACUGCAGUUUCAAGACAAAGUAAAAUUUUGAUUCAAAUUAAAUGCCGGGAUGAAUUACACUAAUUUCAUUCAUUUAAUUAGUAGUUGUAUUAGAACAAAUUGUAUCCUUGUUAACUUGUAAUAAAUCAAUUACUAUAAAACUUA